rnacentral:lncRNA from 1 species
UAAAAAUGCAUGACGUUGUUCGUGAUAUGGCUCUAUCUAUAGCUUGUGAAAUUGAGAAGGAGAAGAGAAACUUUUUGGUUUGUGCAGGUGCGGGACUAAAGGAGGCACCUGAUGUUAAAAGAUGGGAAAAUGUGAGAAGAUUGUCAUUGAUGCAAAACCAAAUUGAAACUCUGUCAGAGGUUCCUGCAUGCCCUCAUCUCCAUACUCUAUUUCUUGCCUCUAAUAAUAGUUUGCAGAGGAUCACCGCUGGUUUCUUCCAAUUUAUGCCUUCUCUCAAAGUUUUCAAGAUGUCAAACUUCUGGAAUUUAAUUUUGGAAUUACCUCAAUGAAUUAUUGAUUUUUAAAGGUUUUUGAUGGUUGUCGAAGCCAACAAAAAUAAAUACAUACUCUAAAUAAAUUGUGUAUAGUGAUUGAGCAGGGUCAUGUCCACAGAGAUCGGUAAUUAUUUAAAUCCUUUUAAAACGUAAAACAUAAAAUGGGGGUUUUGUUGACAAUAAUAAAAAUCAAAUUAAAAUAAUAAGAAUGCAAAUUAAAGUUGUAAUUCAAAUUGGAGAAAGCUCUGGUUGAAGGAAUUAAUUCAACUUGAUUCGACUACUGAUCAUUGAUUCAAAUAUAGAUUAUUAUUACUUAUGAAUAGACCAGUUAUAGCUACCGAGAUCCUCUAAUAGCCAAUCUCUCCUUAACUAGUCGAUAACUAAGGUACGACCGUUGGCUAUUUCCCUAAUCAAUAGACAACCCUAGAUACGAUCAUAUGAUUUAAUCAAUUGACAGCCUGAAAGACCAGAGAGACCCAAAUCCUAAUCAACACAUAUGAUGAUUCAUUUAAAUUAGAUUGUUUAUUCUCAUAACACAACUCACUGCUAUGUUAUUUGUCACAAACAUUAAAAUCUUCAUACGAUGAAUCCUUUAAUUAACAAUAGAUUAAGUUGAUAAUUAAAUAGUGGCCAAUUACCUAAUUAACAAACAUAAUCAUGAAACUAAUUCAGAGAAUAAACAAAUACCCAAAGAGUAAUAAAACAAUUAAAGCAUAAGAAAGAUCUCACAGUAGUGAUGAAUCAAAGCUUCAUUAUCCUUCAACCAAAAAAAUAAGUUUAGUUCUUCAUAGAGAGAAGAUAAAAAUUAGAUGUAGGGUUUCUUUCUUUUACUCCAAUUCCAAAAUUCUCUUUUUCACAAUAGAUUCCUCCUUAAAUACCCUCUCUCUCUCUCUCUUCUCUUUUAGAGUUCUAUUUAAAAUAAAAUAAUAAUAUUUGAAAUAUUAAAUUCUUAAUUACAAAAAUAACAAAAAAUACAAAACACGUUAAACUCAAAACUGCAGGUUCGCAGUUGACAGCACGCGCCCACGCCUUAUCAACAAAGUUCUUCUGCCGCUCAUAAUUUCUCCAAGAGAACAAUCAUCCUUAAACAUCAUCUUGUAACUCAAUUUUAUCACUAAUCAAUAGAAUUGCACCUACAAAAGUAAAACACAAGUAAAUCACUAUUAUUAAGUGCAAAACAUCGAUAUUAAGAGAAGUAAACAAUGCAAAACUAGUGCAUAAAUUGCACUCUAACAAAUUCCCCCACACCAAGAUGAUGCUUGUCCUCAAGCAUAUAACUCAAGAUAAAUCUCAAAUCUCCACUCAAUUCUCAUCUCAACUUAUCCAAAAACAAUUUUAAGCAAGCAUACCUUAAGAAAUUAAGUCGAUCAACAUUCGAGAGACAAGGAUUUUAAAGCAUAGAAUUUCAUAAGAUAGAAUAAGAACAUUCAACCACUAAGAAGAUCCAUUCAAAAUUCAAGUGCAACAAGAUUUAAUAGCCCUCUCAAUAACUUCACUCCAUGCACUCAAAGUGUUUAGGGUGUCAUUUAUUCACUCAAAUCAAAUCAAAGAAUGCUAUUACCAUAAGCUUGCUCAUAUAUCACAUUUCAAUCCACAAAACAUGAAUAAAAUGCAAAAAUCUAAGGGUCUUAAAAGGGUUGUAAUGGGGUUAAAUAGGUUAAAUGAAAAAGAAAGGUUUACGAAAGAAAAAGAGAUCAAAAUGAGAAGAAUGAACUCAUUGAAUGAACUUAUGAUAUCAAAAUGCUUAUUUCUACUCAAGUCACCAAGAAUGUAAACUUUUUUUUUUCGAUUUUUCUUUUUUUCUUUUUUUUUUCCCUUUUUUUUUCUUUUUCCUUCUUUUUUGUUUUUUGUUUUUUUUUUAAUCAAACAAAAGAAACGAACCUUGCACAAUUUAAUUCAAGCAUAAUGCUUGUUGAUCUAAUUGAGAAACUUUAAUACAAGGUAGAAAAAGCAACAAAAUAUAUCCACACAAUGAGUCCAAAAAUCUCCUUAAAUUGAGGCUCAAAAAAAAGAAAAAUGGUUAAGUAGACGAAGAGAAUUAGAUGGGUAAUGGUUAAGGUUCAAACAAAGGUAGCAAAUAAAGGUCUUCGGGUAGAGAAAAAGGAAAAUGCGAGAAUAGAAAAAUGGUAAAUGGUUUGCCCUUAUCAUUUUAAUGCAUAAAAUCCCGAAAUGUGGCUUCAACAUGCAUAACAAAGCAAGUUCUAGAAUAAACAAACUAGGAUUGAUAUUCACAUAACAAAAAUAAUUAGAGCAAAGUGGUUGAUCAUAGGCUCAAAUCCUCACAAAGUUGGUAAAUUUGCCAUCAAAUCAUGUACACUCUUCAAAUGAAUCAAUCAUCAAUAGUGGUGUAGAAUGAGAAGAAGGUAUGAGUGAGAAAUAAAAGGAAAAGUAAAAAGGAUAAUAAGCGAGAAAGAUGUAUGUAGUAAAAAAAAAUGAAAGAUAAAAUGUGAGUGAUGAAAGAGUAUGAUAGAGAAAAAAAAAUAGAUGUAAAUAAUUUGAGAUAGAUGGGAAAAAAGUAGUGAGAGAGAAAGGAAAAGAAAAUUAAUAAUAUAUGAAGCAUGCUAACUCCAAAAUCAUUUAAGGAUGAGUAGAGUGAAAAUAGAUGAGCAGAGUGAAAAUAAUAAUUCCAGACAUCAAUAAUAGUGAAAAUAGAUGAGCAGAGUGAAAAUAAUAAUUCCAGACAUCAAUAAUGCAAAAAUCCCUCCCCCACACCAAGAACUUACAUUGUCCCCAAUGUAAGAUAAUCAAAGCUCACAUAAAAAUUAAAGCGUAAGGAUAAAAGAUUGAAGGCAAAAAAAAAAAAAAAAAAAAAAACUUCCCUGAAUUGUGAGCUUUGAUCCACAUAACGUCUAUGAGCUUGGCGGAAAUGGUGGGGUAAAUCCCACACUCUCGAAGUAUACGGCCAAAUUCUGCUCCAUCUUGUUCAGCUUGUGCUCCAUUUUCUCUAACUGAAUGCUCAAAGGUGGUGCGGAUGUAGAAGGAAUAGUUGGCGGGGCAGCAGUGCCGUCGUCAAACUCGUCAUCAGAGGUAGCACCACUCCUAGCAUAAAGCUUCUUCGGAGGUUGAGUGGGUCCUGGUUCAGUAAACUGAAAUCUCCCCUCCUUGAAUUCGACCACACCUGUUCUUUCAAACACAGACAUAUCCAAAAAUUCCUUUUUGCAAGCAGGAUGCAAAUCAUUAUUGUCGAGAUCAAGCACACAUAGGUUUAUACCUAACAGAGUAAUGUAUGGACCAAGCAAUAAAGUCCUAUACCGUUUAAGCACACUUUGAAAUUGAUCCGCUAACCAAAAACCUAAAUUAGGCCUCACAUCAUUUAACAUGCACCAGAUAAAAUAAAAUUCAGUUUUAGAGAAAAUUCCUGAAUGAUCUUUCUUGCCUAAAAAAUUAAAUAUUAAGAAUCGAUGCACACAUUUCAAAACAGGAUCACGUAAGAAAGAACUCUUUGAUUUACUCGGGUCAUAGGCAUUGUGAUCAACAGAUAAAUUACGCCAAAGACCAUAAGUCUCAAAAUUUUCGCUAAAGUCACAAGUUGUUCCUAAAUAUUCAUCACUAGUAGAAUAAUCAUCAUCAAUGAAUCCUAAAGUUAGGUUAAAAUCCGUGAUAGAGUGUGAAAAAUUUCGUCCCGUUAACCUAAACUUAAUGACAUCCGGGGUAUGCAAAGUAAAAUCAUUCGGCAUAGUAAAUUGAAAAGUAGCAUAAAACUCCCUAAUCAACUCAACAUAACCCAAGCAAUCAACAUCAACAAACUUACGCAACCCAAUCUUAUCUAUCAAAGAAUCAAAAUUAUUCUUAACAUUCAAUUUUUCAAGAGUCGGGUAAUGAAUAUACUUAGCUGGAAGUAUUUUACGCGUGGAAAUAUCUUUGUACCUCUCUUUCUCUUGUUGAGUCGCGAAUGCGAGGCACCCUCCGAGAUUGGAUUCCGCAAGUGGCAAAACACUCAUGCCUUUUCCAUGCUUUGAUCUUUGUCUCACGGCUUGGCGUGAAUCUGAAAUUAUGUUCCAUGGAACCGUAGUGGGAGCGGCAAUCUUAGAUUUCUUUGCGACGGGUGUCUUUUUCGAUGACUUGGAAGUAGAUGCUUUCCUCUUCGGCAUUGUUACAAUAAUUGCACUCACGGAUUUCGAUUUACCCGGCUGGAAUACAGGGUGUAGGCUGGUUGCGUUGCGUUGUUGCUCGGCUGGAGCUUGCUGAGCGGCUUGGGGCUGGUUGCGAACUGCUGGUUGCGUGCGGUUGCUGUUUGCAUGGAUGUGUUGCGCGCGAGAGCUGGUUCGCGUUGCUGGUUCGUUGCACUACGGGACUAUUGCGCGCGAGAGCUGCUUCGCGUUUUUGCGGCUGCUUCGUGGGCUGUUGGUGCUGCGAGACACGAAAUGGUGGUGCUGCGCGGGCGGGGUGGUGCUCGAUACUGGUGCUGCGCGCUCGGGGUGGUGUGUUUUCCGGCGGGCUAGUGUGCUGCUGGUGUGCUGCAAGCGGCUGGAGAAGAAAACAAGUUCUGGAAAAUUAGAGAUUUUGUGAACAGUAAAUUUUUUUUUUGAACAGUGAUUUUUUUGAAUUUUUUUAAUAAAUAAAUAUAUAAAUAUAUAAAAGAAAGAACAAAAGAAAAUCUCUUUUUUUUUUAAUAAAUAAAUAGAAAAAAAAUAAUUUUUUUUUUGUAGUGAUGAAUCACUUUGAGACACCAAAAAUUUUAGAAGUACUUUUUUAAUAAGCACGUGGGCACGCCUUAAAACUAUUUUACUUUAAAAAUUACAAAAGUACUUUUUUAAUAAGCACGUGGGCACGCCUUAUCAAAAAUUUUCUUCUGACCAAAAUAAGCAAACACAUUAAAUUUUUUUUUUUGAAUCAAAACUAAAAGAAGAUAAAACAAAAACCAAAAUAAACAAAUCAUUUGGGUUGCCUCCCAAAAAGCGCCUUUGUUUUAUGUCUUUGGCUAGACACAUUUAUGUAUCAAUCUCCAUAAUUGGGACUCUCGAGAGCCACAUCCUCCACAAUAUUCACCGAAAAACCUUCAUAAAAAGAUUUUAAGCGAUGGCCAUUAACCUUAAAACCUUUGUCAGAGGUCGGACUCCGAAUCUCAACUGCACCAUGAGGAAAAACAUUAGUAACAAUAAAAGGUCCAACCCAGCAAGAACGUAAUUUACCUGGAAAAAGUUUAAGCUUAGAAUGAAAAAGAAGAACUUUUUGACCAACAGAGAACUCCUUUCUCAAAAUCAUUCUAUCAUGAAAUGUCUUCGUCUUUUCCUUGUAAAAAACUUCCUGCGCUAUAGGGUUAAUAACAUCCACAGAAAAUACCGAAUGUUCCUCACUAGGAUAUUUCAUGGCAUCAUUCAUAUUGAAUUCUAUAACCUCUCCAUCAAACUCCAUAGUGAGAGUCCCUUUAUGUACAUCCAUUUUAGUCCUAGCAGUCUUAAGAAAAGGUCUUCCUAGCAAAAUUGGGACAGAAUUAGAGGAGUUAUCCUCUUCCAUAUCAAGUACAUAAAAAUCAGCAGGAAAAACUAACUCAUUAACUUGUACUAAGACAUCUUCUAAUACCCCAUCAGGAUAUGCAUUAGACCUAUCAGCUAGUUGAAUUAUCAUGCCAGUUUCUUUUAAUGGGCCAACAUUCAAAGAUGAAUAAAUGGAACGAGGCAUGACAUUAAUAGAAGCUCCUAGAUCUAGCAUAGCCUUUUCAGCUCUGACAUUACCAAUUUUGCAAGGGAUAGUAAACAUACCUGGAUCCUUGCACUUAGGAGGUAGUUUCUUUUGAAGAACUGCUGAAACAUUCUCCCCCAUGUGAACUUUUUCAUCUCCUCUUAAUUUUCUCUUAGAGGUGCACAGUUCCUUAAGGACUUUAGCAUACUGAGGUAUUUGUUUUAUAGCAUCUAAUAAAGGAAUAUUUACCUCAACCUUGCGAAAUGUCUCAAGGAUGUCUUUCUCUUGUUCCUCCUUCUUGGAUUUUGCAAACCGGCUUGGAAAAGGAGGAGGUAGCACAAUAGGUAGGGGUUUCGCUCUGGUGGGUUCCGCAUCUUGAGAUUUAGGCAUCAAUUCAUUCUUCUCAAGCUCAUCUUCUACAUGCUUUGUCACUUUCUUACUAGGCUCUUGCAACUCCUUCCCACUUCUAAGGAUGACAGCACUAACGUUUUGCUUUGGAUUCACCUCAGAUUGUGAAGGCAAUCUCCCUAAUGAUUGAGACUCCAGAUGGCUCACUAUAGUCGCCAAUUGACUCAUUUGAUCCUCCAAAUUCUGAAUACUUGCUGUAGUUGCCUGCUGAAAUUGUUGAGUGUUAGUCGCAAGUGAUUUAACAAUUUCUUCAAGAGAUAUACUUGACUUGGAGUUUGACUGUGGAGGUUCUGGUUGUCUUGGGGGAUACUGUUGUGGGAAUCCUGACGGGCUAACUCCAUAGCUGAAGUUGGGGUAAUCCUUCCAUCCCGGAUUGUAUGUUUGUGCAUAAGGAUCAUACCUCCUCUGAGGCAUGCCUGGAAAUCCUCCAACUGCAUUGGCUUGUUCAACGAGUUCUUCUUGAAGUGUAGGACACAUAUCAGUUGAAUGACCCAUAUUGUAACAAAUGCCACAAGUCUUCACCUCAUUCACCUUCCUUGGAGUGGGAUCUUGCCUGCUGCCAAAUUGUUAUGCAUUGGCAGCCAUAUUAGAGAUCAACUCCCUUGCUUGAGUAGGGGUCUUGUUCACCAACACACCUCCACUAGCAGCAUCUAUCAUACUCCUCAUAUCCAUCAAUGACAGUCCUUCGUAAAAAUAUUGAAUAAGAAGUUGAUCAGAAAUCUGAUGCUGAGGACAGCUGGCACACAAUUGUUUGAAUCGCUCUCAAUACUCAUACAAAGUCUCCCCAAGAAGUUGUCUGAUCCCACAAAUGUCUUUUCUGAUGUUAGCAGCUCUUGAAGCAGGAAAGUACUUCUCGAGGAACUGCUUCUUCAAACCAUUCCACGUUGUAAUUGAUCCAGGAGGCAAGUAGUACAACCAGUCUUUAGCUAGUCCAUCUAAAGAGAAAGGAAAAGCACGCAGCUUAAUCUGCUCUUCAGUCACGCCUUGUGGUCUCAUACUUGAACACACAGCAUGAAACUCCUUAAGAUGUUUAUGAGGAUCUUCACCUGCAAAACCAUGAAACUUGGGUAACAAAUAAAUGAGACCAGACUUUAAUUCAAAAUUUGCCUCUAAGUCUAUAAUUCAAAAUUUGCCUCUAAGUCUACAUAUUGAAUGCAGAGUGGUUGUUGAUUCAAGUCUGGUUCAGCUAACUCUCUAAGAGUGCUUUCUGUAGGUGCAGCUCUAUCCAUCACUUGUUCUUCCGAAUCGCUAGAUGAUUCAACUAAAUCAGGCACCGUAUCUGUUUCAGAAAGCAAAGGUGACGAGGAUCGUUGCUUAGCUCGCUUCGUCUGCUGUCUCAGCUGGCGAGCCGUCUUCUCAAUUUCAGGAUCAAACGAAAGUGUACCUGUAUGAGAAAAACGAACCAUACACCAAGUAAAACGUAAAAAGGAUUAAAUAAAUGACACCAAUCCCCGGCAACGACGCCAAAAUUUGAUGGUUGUCAAAGCCAACAAAAAUAAAUGCCUACUCUAAAUAAAUUAUGUAUAGUGAUUGAGCAGGGUCGUGUCCACAGAGAUCGGUAAUUAUUUAAAUCAUUUUAAAACGUAAAACAUAAAAUGGGGAUUUUGUUGACAAUAAUAAAAAUCAAAUUAAAAUAACAAGAAUGCAAAUUAAAGUUGCAAUUCAAAUUGGAGAAAGCUCUGGUUGAAGGAAUUAAUUCAGCUUGAUUCGAUUACUGAUCAUUGAUUCAAAUAUAGAUUAUUAUUACUUAUGAAUAGACCAGUUAUAGCUACUGAGACCCUCUAAUAGCCAAUCUCUCCUUAACUAGUCGAUAACCAAGGUACGACCGUUGGCUAUUUCCCUAAUCAAUAGACAACCCUAGAUACGAUCAUAGGAUUUAAUCAAUUGACAGUCUGAAAGACCAGAGAGGCCCAAAUCCUAAUCAACACAUAUGAUGAUUCAUUUAAAUUAGAUUGUUUAUUCUCAUAACACAACUCACUGCUAUGUUAUUUGUCACAAACAUUAAAAUCUUCAUACGAUGAAUCCUUUAAUUAACAAUAGAUUAAGUUGAUAAUUAAAUAGUGGCCAAUUACCUAAUUAACAAACAUAAUCAUGAAACUAAUUCAGAGAAUAAACAAAUACCCAAAGAGUAAUAAAACAAUUAAAGCAUAAGAAAGAUCUCACAGUAGUGAUGAAUCAAAGCUUCAUUAUCCUUCAACCAGAAAAAUAAGUUUAGUUCUUCAUAGAGAGAAGAUAAAAAUUAGAUAUAGGGUUUCUUUCUUUUACUCCAAUUCCAAAAUUCUAUUUUUUACAAUAGAUUCCUCCUUAAGUACCCUCUCUCUCUUCUCUUUUAGAGUUCUAUUUAAAAUAAAAUACUAAUAUCUGAAAUAUUAAAUUCGUAAUUACAAAAAUAAUCAAAAAUACAAAACACGUUAAACUCAAAACUGCAGGUUCGCAGUUGACAGCACGCGCCCACGCCUUAUCAACAAAGUUCUUCUGCCGCUCAUAAUUUCUCCAAGAGAACAAUCAUCCUUAAACAUCAUCUUGUAACUCAAUUUUAUCACUAAUCAAUAGAAUUGCACCUACAAAAGUAAAACACAAGUAAAUCACUAUUAUUAAGUGCAAAACAUCGAUAUUAAGAAAAGUAAACAAUGCAAAACUAGUGCAUAAAUUGCACUCUCACAGUUUUGAGUUGGAAGAAUUGAAGAUUAAUUAUACAGAGAUAGUACGAAAAAGGCGGGAACCUUUUGUUUUCCGCAGCCUUCACUGUGUUACCAUAGAUUCGUGCCUUAAAUUGAAAGAUUUGACAUUCCUCGUUUUUGCUCCAAACCUCAAGUCUCUUUCUUGCCGUGCUAUGGAAGAAAUAAUCUGCGUUGGAAAAUUUGCUGAGGUUCCUGAGAUGAUGGGACAUAUAAGCCGUUUUGAAAAUCUCCGAAGUCUUCGUUUGUCACAUUUGCCAAAUUUGAAGAGCAUCUACUGGAAGCCAUUGCCUUUCACUCAUCUCAAAGAAAUGACGGUACAUGGGUGUAAUCAGCUUAAAAAGCUUCCACUCGAUUCCAACAGUGCAAAAGAGCGUAAAUUUGUUAUUCGUGGACAAGCAGACUGGUGGAACCGACUUCAAUGGGAGGAUGAAGCCACUCAAAUUGCUUUUAGUUCCUGUUUCCAACCUUAACUUGAUUUCUGGUUAGUGCCGUUUCCUUAACUUUUACAUAUAUUCUCGUCGUUUGCUUCGUUCAAAAUACUAGGUCUUUUGUUCUCUGUUUUUAUUUCGCCAAUUUUUUUUUUUUGUCUUCUGCAAAUGACGGACAAAUGUUGAACUAAAAGGAAUUAAUGCUUUAUAACUUUGCCGGCAUUGCUUUCUUCUUUUUCUUUUUUGUUUUUUUGGGGCGAGGGGGGAUCGAAUUGAUGCUCUGGUUUUUGACUUUUUGUUGUCAAAUUUUACUCUGUUUUUUUCAAAUUGAUGCUUGAAUAUUUGAAUCAAAUUAAUGCUCACGUAAAUUUGUUCAGUUGCCGUAAAAGGAUAUAAGAAAUACACAACUCUAGAAUGAAUAGAAUUAAACAGAGAAAAUAUUGAGUAUAUUAGCCGUCUUCACAUAAAAUCAUAUGAAAAAUAAAUUUUGAAGUUUUGAUUUUCUAUGGUUAAUCAUACCCUUUAUAAUUUCUUCUGUUCUAACUACAAUAAAAUUUUUAGUUCAAGGAUUUUUAUUAGGGGUAUUAAUAAUAGUCCACCAAAAGAGUGAACAGUUGGAUGCUGCCCUAAGGGUCUCCAAUCAAUAGCUGGAAGCAAUUGAGAAGGCGGUCGUUACUGUGUACAAAGCCAUGCAGUAUUUGCUAUUCAUCUUAGUAAUUAUGAAGCUUUGGUAAAAUUUUCAAACAAAGUUGACAUGUUAUUUUGAGAUUUGGUUCAUGAUUUUGUAUGAAUAUCGUUGUUCCAUUGAGUUGUAUAUGAAUUCAAAUGUAAAAUAUUCUUUGGUUUUCAAUUUUGAAUUCAAUUUCAUUUUCUUAAGCAUGUUGUGCAGAAAUGAUUUCUACUAAAUCAUUUUUGAUAAACUAUUUAAAUUAAACAACUGGGAUAAGAACUGUAAGGAUUUAUCGUAAGCAGACUAAUAUGAUAAUUCUGAAACUAUCAUUUUUUUUUUCAAUUUGUUGCAGGGAAAGCCAAAUUUUGUGUUUUUCAGUUUUAUCUGAUAUGGAAUUUAUUUCCUCUACACUAGCUACCUAAAGAUUUAUCAAAUUGCUUCUCUUCCCUGCUUCAAAUUAAUAUCUUUAUGCAACUACAAUCUCAUAGGAAAAGACAGUUUGGGUUGUAUUUAUUAUAGUUGUUUUUUUCGUUAAGAGCAAUUUAUUUUAAAAUCGUUUAGUAGUAACAGUUUUUAUUGAAUAAUAAUGGGGAAGGAUUAUUAUAAGUUCAAAUAGUUGUUAGAACAUUAUAAAAAAUUCAUUUACUAUCAAAUGUUUUAAAUUGGUGCAACAUGAUAAUUGUCCCACAUAAUUUUUAGUAAUAUAUAUGGCCCAUAAAUUUAAUAUGAAUAAAUGAGUUUCGAUAGUUAAAUUUGACACGAUUAUUAAAUAAGUUAUAUCCAUGUCAAUUCGACUUAAAAUCUGGUCAAAUUUAGAUUUAGAGUUUAUAACAUGAUAACUUGUUUUAUGACAUGAUUUACUAAUCAAUUAAUAUUAAAUUAUAUUUUAGCCAAUCAGAUAUGUGGUACAUUUGUCAAAUUUUAAAAAUUAUUUAUUUAUAUAUGAAAUAAAUUUGACUAGACUGUGUGUAGGUAAUAGUGCAUAAUUUCUAAAAAAAUGUAAUAAUAACACGUUAAAAUGUUAUUUUUAUGAAGAAAAAUUGAAAUUUUAUUAAAUAGGCGACACAAUAAUAAAUGGGGUGAGAUUAUUUACACUUUAAGAAUUACUUUGAACAUUAUUUUAUUUUAUAAAUUUUAUAUUACAAAAACACCCAUAGUUUAAUUUACCAUUAAGAACAAUUUUGUGCGAUUAAAUAAAAUACAUUACUCUUUACCCUUUCACUACAUCGACAUAAAUCCUAAUUUUUAUGUUUCUAAUUUCUUUGAUAUGCUUAUUGAAGUCCACAUUAUAAUCAAUUUUAAACUAUUAUACCACUUAAAUACAUUUUAGAAUGAGAAGUUUGGUUUUCUUCAUGGUCUGCCUUGCUGAUGCUGUUCUUGAAACUAUCGAACUUAAUAAUUUUAUGGCCAAAAUGAUAUAUGUUGAACCAGCUUUUACAUCGAAUUCUACCACCAUAAAAAAUCAUACUUGUAAUAUCUCAAGGUUCCAAUUUAUCAAAAGUUAAUAUUUCAUAUUUGUUAGUUCCUAACAGUCACAAGAGCGUACAAGCCAAUUUUUGUAGCUCCUUUUUCUGCAGUAGAUUCAAGUAUAUUAUUAUCAAGCAUUUUUGUUACACCCUUAAUUCCUUAUCAUCAUCCCUUCAUUCAGAGCAACUAAACAGAGGUCAAUGUCAUUAUGUUAGAGUUACGAGGAAGAGUACUGCCAAAAAAGUUCUUUGUAUGGGAUUUAAUUUUCUGGGUUUGUAGUGAUGAACAAAUUGAGGGUUGUUUUGGUAUUUUCAAGAGUGUAUUGAGUGAAAAUUAUUUUUAAAAAAUUUAACAAAUGAGUGUAAUGAGUAAAAAAGUGUUUAAAGUAUUUUUUAGAGUACAAAUAGCUCCAUCUUAAUAAAUGAGUUCUUGUAAAAAUUGAGAUUAUUGAUAUAAUUAUUAAAUAGGUUGGAUUGAAAUUAGUUUAAUUUUGACAAGAUAAUAAGACGACGCGACACAAAUACAACCAACCAGUCAACCCCAAUUGCAACCUUUUACUAAUAAAAGAUACCUGUUUGAAAAGUAAUUAUAAGCUAUCUUCUUUGUGUUAUUUCUCUAAAAAUUUGCGGCACAAAUGUUAUUUCCAUGGAGAAAAGUACGAAAUACCCGCUUUCACUUCAGCAGAAGCAAAGCAAAGCUAUGAGCCAUCUCUGUAUAAUUGAAACGCCAUUGCUAAACGGUUCUUGAUGAUGGGUGCCACCGUGCCAGCGUUGUCGCUGAUUUGCAUGAUUUAUUAGUUGUUCAGAUGGCGGAUUUUGUACUCUCACUUUCAUUUCAUUCUUGAGAGCCACGUACAAUACUAGGUGGCAUUGAAGUUGCCCCAGUGGUUAGUUUUCUGAUUUUUUUUAAUUCAAAUUUUUAUGUUUUAGAAAAAUGUAAGAAAAAUGUAGAAAUGUUGACAGCUACAAUUUUGAAACUUUGCCUAAAAUUAUUAUCGUUACUUAUUGUUUCUUAGCUAAAGAGAAAUCCUAGAAACAUGAAAUUAUUAUUCUAUGCUUGUUUUAAUAUUAUACAUUAGCAGGUUAAUUAAAAAUUAGACGUGAAUACAACAAGAGAUAAGUGGAGAGAAUUUGGUAGUCGACUGCAUUUAGAAUUUAAUUUUUCUUUUAGCUGCCGAUCAUUAAAUUUUAUAUUUCAGAAAAUUAUACCUAGAAUAUUUCAAGGAUAUACUACGAAGAUUAUGAAGGUUUGAUUACAUGUCACUAUCAAUUGCCUCAAUCAUUUGUAGUAAAUUAAUUAAUCAUUUUGCUGCAAAUGAUUUCCUAUUAAAAAAUUCAAGUCAGAGCUGAAUUGCACAGUAGUUAGUCGUACUUGCAAUUCAAAUUAAGUAUUGUAUUUUCUGCCUGAUUUGGUUGAUUCAACUAUGUGCAUUUGCAUAAUGGAGAUGCUUAUGAACGUUGUAGUAUAGAAAUCGAAACGUCUUGUCUUUUGCUAAGCCCAGAAGCAAAGUUCUUUGUAUUAUACUCAUCAGUUUUCUUCGUUCUCUUCGUUGAAAUUUUAUCCAAACAGCGGUUUCUUCGAAUUUUUGCCUUCUCUUACAUUUUUAAAUCUAUCAAAGAACGGUUACCUGAGAAGAUUGCCAUCAGGUAUUUCGAAAUUGAUUUCAAUACAAUACCUUAAUCUAUCAGAUGCUCCCGUCACUCAGUUGCCAAAAGUGACAAAAGCCUUAGUAAAUUUUUAGAGUAAAAGCUCAUUUUAGUCAUUGUAUUUUAAAAUUAAUAUCUAUUUAGUCCUUAUAUUUUGAAAAAUACCUUGAAACAUCCAUGCCGUUAAAGUAUUGAUACCCUUACCGUUACUUUUUAUUUAUUUUGGCUUAUUUUUACAAUAUUACCCUUUAAUAAUAUUUUUUUGUUUGGACAUUAAUAAAAAUAAAAUAAUUAAAUUACCAAUUUAAUCCUAAAAAAUAAAAAUAAAAAUUUAUAUUAAUUUUUAAUUGUCAAAAAUUGUAUGCAAACUACCAAGUGUGCAAACGGUGCUUGCAAAAAAAUUAAUAUAAUUUUUUUUUAAUUUUUAGGGUUAAAUUAGUAAUUUAAUUAUUUUCUUUUUAUUAAUGUCCAAAAAAUUAGUAAUUUAAUUAUUUUCUUUUUAUUAAUGUCCAAAAAUUAUUAUAAAAGGGUAAUAUUGUAAAAGUAAGCUAAAAGAAAUGAAAAGUAACGGUAGGGGUAUCAAUACUUUAACGGUAGGGAUGUUUCAAAGAGUAAAUGGACACUAAUAUUAAAAUACAAGGACUAAAUAUGUUUUUACCCUAAAUCUUUAAGUGUUUGAAUUGGAGUACAUAAAUUAUCUCUCUACAAUUCAAAAACAACAGAUUUGUUACUUUUCAACGCUACAGGUUCCGCGAAUAUUCAGUUGUGGUUAUCUUGUUGAAACACCAGAAAAUAGCGUUCUAUUUGGUGGUAAUGAAUUCUUGGUUGGGGAGUUACUUAGUUUAAAACAUUUAAAUGUAUUAAGCAUCGCCUUAAAAGGUUUUUCUACCGUCCAAAAACUUAUGAGCUCCCAAAAGUUUCAAAGUUGUACAAAAUGUUUGGAGCUUAUAGACAGUGAUGAUUCAAAGUCGUUUGCCUUGGCAGAGUUGAAGCAUCUUGAAAAACUAGGUAUUUCAAAUUGUGGAAAUUUGGAAGAGUUUAAGUUCUGCUGUGUCGAAGUUGGAAAAGCUCGAGAAGAUUUUUGUUUGAACAGCCUUCACCAAGUUAAGAUAAAGGCUUGUCAUAAAUUGAGGGAAGUGACAUGGCUUGUGUUUGUACCAAAUCUCAAGGUUAUUCAGAUAGAAAAAUGUAUGGAGAUGGAAGCUGUUGGGAAAGAGACUACCACAAGCAGCUACAAAUUAAGCGAAUAUAAAAUUCUUUCCCUCUUUGUGUGAUUAAAAUAGGAUGUGUACUACAAACAAAUAAGCAGAAAAAUAAACCAAUAAAUCCAAAGCAAAAACCAAUCACAAGAGACACCGAUUUUUACGUGGAAAAUCUAAAUUGGGAAAAAUUACGGGAUAGUAGUCUGAUAUAAACUUCCACUAUAUUAAUGAGAUUACAACACAAAUUCUUCUCCAGAUAACACUAGAGGCUAACAAUAUUAAAAUUCUCAACAAUCUUGGUUUACAAUAAUAGAUCUAAAAUCUAUUUCUUCAAUAAGUGAGUAUCUCAAAUAAUAGCUACUGAGAGAAUAAAAUACAGAUCAACACCAGUAGAAAUAUAGAGGGCAAUGUCAGGAACUUACCCUCCAAAUUUAGGAGUAAUUAGAGCUAAAAUUACCUUUUGAUUGUUGAAUUAAAGAUUGAAAACCCAAAAAAAAAAAUCUCUUUCUCUCGCAGUGUCUUCUCACUUUCGCGAAAUGGCUACAGCUCUCGCGAUUCUUCACUUAUUUCCUUAGUUAAUUUCAUCCAAUUCCAAAAUUUUACAAUAAUUACACAUCAAGCAAAUUAUUUUGGACUUUAAACUUUUUGGUCCACUGAAGUGAGAUGGACCCUACAAAUCUCCCCCUCCAUCUCAUCUUAGGGGCACCACCAAGCCCGCUCUCUGCUUACAGCUUUCCAGCUUGUCCUUGGGUAAUGACUUUGUCUCAAGCUGCAACUGUUUCUACUCAAGCACGUCUUGUAUCCAAUGAUACUUCAUAUCAAUAUGCUUCGAUUUCAAAUGAUAUGUUGAAUUCUUUGCCAAGUGGAUGACACUUUGACUGUCACAGUACACAACAUAACUAUCUUGAUUAACACCUAGUUCUUGUAGAAAAUUCUUCAUCCACAAGGUUUCUUUGUAACUUUCGGUCAUUGCAAUAUACUCUGCUUCUGUAGUAGACAAAGCAACACACUGCUAAAGUCUGGACUGCCAUGAAACUGCUCCCCCUACAAAGGUGAGCAAAUAUCCUGAUAGGGACUUUCUAGAAUCAACAUCUCCUGCCAUAUCUGCAUCCGUAUCUACUUGUAAUAUAGGUUUGUCACCACCAAAACAUAAACAUGCCUUGGAAGUGCCUCUGAGAUAUAUGACAAUCUACUUUACUGUUGACCAGUGUUUUUUACCCGGAUUAGAGGGAAACCAGUUGACUACCAACUGUUGAAGCGUACCUCAAACUACCAACUGUUGAAGCAUAAGGAACUCUUCUUAUCUCUUGCUUCUCUUUCUCACUUGUGGGACAAUGCUCGAAACUAAGCUUGAAAUGACCUGCAAGUGGAAAAUAAACAUAUUUUGCUUUGUCCAUAUUAAAUCUUUUAAGAACCUUUUCAACAUAUGCUUCCUGAGAUAACCAUAAAUUCCCAGUUUUUCUGUCACGAGAAAUCUUCAUGCCAAGAAUUUGUUUCGCCGAUCCCAAGUCCUUCAUUGCAAAAGACUUGCUAAGCUCUCUCUUCAAAUUGUCAAUCUUACUAGUAUCCUUGCCAACAAUCAACAUGUCAUCCACAUAAAGUAAAAGAAUAAUAAAAUCAUUAUCACUAAACUUUUUCACAAACAUACAAUGAUCACACAUUGUCUUGCAAAAGCCAUGAUUCUCCAUAAAAGAAUCAAACUUCUUAUACCACUGUCGUGGUGCCUGUUUCAGCCCAUAUAAAGUUUUUUUCAAUUUGCACACAAGUUCUUCUUUACUUUUGACACUGAACCCUUCAGGUUGUUCUAUGUAUAUUUCCUCCUCUGAGUCAUCGUGUAAGAAAGUAGUCUUUACAUCGAACUGUUCAAUUUCCAAAUCCAAGCUAACUGCUAAUCCCAGAGGUGCUUGCUCCACUGGUUCUGCUGGACCAUUAUUAUUAUCCUCUCCAGCUCCCCUAUGAUCAACAUGAACAACAUGUGGAGAAACCGAAGUUGGAAUAAUAGGAAUCUCUGGAGAUGGUUGAGACUUAUCGUUUUUUUUUCAUCACCAACUAUUUAAUCUUUAAGAAACACAACAUCUCUACUUCUGAUUAGUUUUCUUGCCACUGGAUCCCAUAAUCUGUACCCAAAUUCUUCAUGUCCAUAGCUUAAGAAAAUACAUUUCUUGGCUUUAUCAUCAAGCUUCGAUUUCUCAUCUUUAGGGAUAUGAACAUACACUCUGCACUCAAACACCCUCAAGUGUUUAUAAGAAACAUCUUUCCCAAUCCAAACUCUUUUAGGUACAUCGUCAUCUAAUGGAGCUUAAGGAGAAAGGCUAAUCAAAUCAACUACAGUACGCAUAGCCUUCGCUCAGAAGGAUUUAUGAAGCUUGGCCUCAGAAAACAUACAUCUGACUAUCUUUUCAAUUGUUCUGUUCAUCAUUUCUUCAACACCACUCUGCUGAGGGGUUUUUGGUACAGUUUUCUUAAGUCUGAUUCCAUGAGAUCUGCAAUACUGCUCAAAUGGUCCUCUAUACCCACCAUCAUUUUCUGCCCUGACACAUUUCAAUUUUUUUCUUGUCCCUCUCUCAACAUAAGCAUAAAAGAAUUUAAACAUAUUAAGCACGAAAGAAUUUAAACAUAUCAAGCACUUAAUCUUUAGAUUUUAAAGCAAAAAGUCCAUACUUUUCUAGAACAAUCAUCAAUAAAAGUCACAAAAUAAAGUGCACCUCCUAUUGAUCUAUUUUGCAUCAUGCAAAUAUCAAUGUGAAUCAAAUCAAGGAUUUGUGAUUUCUAGAUGGAGAAAAGCUUUUAAAAGUUACUUUAUGUGUCUUUCUAGCUAAACACUAAACACAAGUCUUGAGGGACAUACCUACAAAGCUGGGUAGAAAUCCUUUUUUGGCAAGAGUUUCUAACCCUUUCUCACCAAUGUGACCAAGCCUUUUAUGCCAUGUCUCAAUGUCAGAAUUGUUUACAGCCACAUUCAUAUAUUCUUUCUUGAUUUUGGCUUCUAUUACGUAGAGGGUGUUCAUUUUCUUUUCUUUAGCCAACACUAGAGAGCCUUUGGUGAGCUUUCAUUUUCCUUCACCAAAUUAGUUAGUAUAACUAUCAUCAUCAAUUUUUCUUGUGGAGAUCAAAUUAAGACGAAUAUCUAGUACAUGCAAGUUUGCCUGUGGAGAUCAAAUUAAGGCGAAUAUCUAGUACAUGUCUGACAUCUUUAAGGAGUAGCUUACAGCCAACACUGGUUUUCAAGCAAAUAUCUCUUAUGCCCACAAUCUUGGAUGCCCCCUCAUUUCCCAUCCGAACAUGGUCAUAAUCACCAUUAACAUAGGAUGUGAAGUAAUCACGAUGUGCAGUAACCACGAUGUGCAGUAACAUGAAACGAAGCACCUGAAUCAAUCACCCAAUUACUGGUAUGGCAAGUGAGAUUUAUAGAGCUAUCAUUCUAAGCAAUGCCCAUAUCACCAUUAAUUACGACUGCAACAUUCUCUUUGUCGUUUUUCUGACCAUCGCCUUUUUCUUUCGCAUGUUCUCUUUUCCACAAUCUACACUACCUUUUUACAUGGCCCAUUUUCUGACAAUGAAAGCACUUAGCUUCUCCUAUGGGACUUAGAUCUUCCUCCAGGGUUAUCAUUAUUCUGAUGACGGAAAUUUCUGCUUUGACUUCUCCCCCGUCUUUCUUGGUUUUCUGAAACAAGUGUAGCUGACUCAGAGGGAACUACUUUAGCAUUCUUUCUUCGAGAUUCUUCAUUCCGCAGUCUAUCUGUAACCAUAUCCAAGUUUAAUUUACCAUUCGAUGCCGAAUUAUUCACUGACACCACUAAUGUCUCCCAACUAUCAGGUAAAGAACUAAGCAACAACAAUGCUUGUAACUCGUCAUCUAGAAUAAUCUUCAUAGUAGUCAACUGAUCAACCAAACCCUGAAACUCACUAGUGUGUUCAGUUAUACUGUGGCCUUUUUUAUAUUUCAAGUUAACAAGCUUUUUCAUCAGAUUGACUUUAUUUUGUGUUGUUGGCUGCUCAUAAAUUAUUUCUAAUUUUCUCCAAAGAACAUCAGCCUUGGAUUCCUUCGCGACAUGAUGGUACACACUCUGAUCAAUCCAUGACCUAAUAGUGCCCACGACUUUCUGGUUCAAUUGAGCCCAUUUCUUAUCAUCUAUAUCAGCAGGUUUAACUUCAUCACCUUCAAUAGGUUCAUGUAAGUCUUUCAUGUAGAGCAAAUAUUCCAUUCUAGACUUCCAAAUAUCAUAAUUCCACGACUCAAUUUAAUCAUGAACACCAAAGACUCCUCUAUUUCAACCACACAAGUAAUAAAACUCUUUCCCUCUUUGUGUGAUUAAAAUAGGAUGUGCACCAUAAACAAAUAAGCAGAAAAAUAAACCAAUAAAUUCAAAGCAAAAAUCAAUCACAAGAGACACUGAUUUUAACGUGGAAAAUUCAAAUCGGGAAAAACCACGGGACAAUAGUCUGAUAUAAACUUCCACUAUAUUAAUGGGAUUACAGUACAAAUUCUUCUCCAGAUAACACUAGAGGCUAACAACAUCAAGAUUUUCAACAAUCUUGGCUUACAAUAAUAGAUCUAAAAUAUAUUUCUUCAAUAAGUGAGUAUCUCCAAUAACAGCUAAUGAGAGAAUAAAAUACAGAUCAACACCAGUAGAAAUGUAGAGGGCGAUGUCAGGAACUUACCCUCCAAAUUUGGGAGAAAUCAAAGCUAAAAUUAUUUUUCGAUCGUUGAAUCAAAGAUUGAAAACCCAAAGAAAAAUAAUAUCUCUUUCUCUCGCAACGUCUUCUCACUUUCGCGAAAUGGGUACAGCUCUCGCGAUUAUUCACUUAUUUCCUUUAUAUAUUUUUUUGGUUAAUUUCAUCCAAGUCCAAAAUUUUGCAAUAAUUACACAUCAAGCAAAUUAUUUUGGACUUUGGGCUUUUGGUCUACCGAAGUGAGAUGUACCCUACAGAAGCAAUAAUCAGUGCAAGAAAAUUGGGUGAAGUUCAAGAGAUGAUGGCAGAUCUAAACCCUUUUGUAAAACUCCAAUAUAUUGGCCUCUGAAUUCUACCAAAAUUAAAAAAGCGUCUAUUGGAAUGUGUUGCCCUCUCCACAUGUCAGGAAAAUUUUUGUAUCUGAAUGCCCAAUUCUCAUUAGGGGAGAGGAACACUGGUGGAAUGAGCUGCAAUGGGAGGAUGAAGCAACCUAUAAUGCUUUUCUUCCUUGUUUUGGAUCCAUUUGACGGGCAUCAACAUGGAUUAAUAUUUUGCAGCGGACCAAUUUGAAUAAAACUUACGGUAAGUGCUUUUCCAUUUAUUGCAUAUUUAUAUCUAAUUUUUGUUUUCCUUUAUGGUUAAAUUUUGCCCUGUAUAUGUUGUUGUACGGUGACAUUCUUGAAUCAAUUAUUAACUUUUUUAAUUCUCGUCUCACAACCACCCUUCUGAUCAUGAGGAUAUGCCGAUAUCAAAGAGUCGUAAUUUGGGAUACAAAUGUAAGAAUUAGGCAGAUGACAUGUUGUUUCAAAGCUUUCGAAGAAGGACUAAAUAUGUAUUGAAAGCCUCCAAUUUUGCGACUGAUUUUUUUUUAAUUUGUUAUUUUUAUGGGUGGCAAAAAUACCCGUCCGAUCUGGACCCGGCCGAUUUGGGCCGGGUACGGGGUAUGAAGCCGGGUUGGUCUUGAGCAUCACUUGAAACUUGGAACUUGGAUUUUAUUAAAAAAUAUUAUAAAUAUAUAUUAUUUUAAAUAUUUAUAUUUAUUAGACUCAUCUAUUACAUAUAUGUAAAAUUUUAAACAUUUAAAGUUUAUAUUUUCAUGUCUAAUUUCAUUGAAAUAAAUUUAAAAAUUAUAAAAUUACCAAUAUAUAUAUAUAUAUAAUAUUAAAAAAGUAUAAAAUCUGAGUACUCAGAUUAAAACCCGGUUCAAGUGUCUAAAAAAUACAUGUGGACCGAGUCCGAACAUUGCGAUACCCAGACCCAAACUUGGGUUUUGCCAACCCUAGUCUUUUAAAUUGCUUGAUUGUUAGUUGUCGUAAUGUAAUGUUUUAGUAUAGAAAAAUGAUAGCCAAGACAACAAUAAGAGGGCACAUUGUGCAUGCACAAUAGUGGAUAAUUUCGGCAUUCCGAAUCCAAUUAGGGUGGAUAACCUUUUAUUAGUAUUAACCUUCUCUCGUACUCGAGUAAUGUAAAAUAUGCUUAGAAGCUGUGGAUCCCCCUUUAUAAGUGUUAGGCUUCUGCCAAACUCGAUUGAUGUGGGAUGCCUUUAUAGGCAUCAAGUUUUCUCCCAUACACUUUACGUUAAAAAUAAUAAUGAUAAAAUAAAUCCAUUUUAAAAUAGACUCAUUUUUCUUUUCUAUAUAAACAAACUCAUUCUUCAAAUCAGUUGUGGGUAGAAGGAGCUGAGUAGAGAAGAACUGGGCCCCUUUCGUUCCCCUAAAAACCUCACCAAACCUCUCUUGUAAGCUUCUCAGUGUCCCUCUCAAUAUUUCUUAUGAUCUCAUUUUUGAUUGAAUCACUUCUUUUGCGUGCUGCAUUUUUGUGUGUCGUAUUUAGGUUUAUCUUAUCUGGAAUCCUAUUGUGAUUGAUGGAACAAGUAAUCAAUUUUUAGUUUAUUUGGAAUGGAACUAUGGUUUAUUUGGAAUGGAACUAUCUGGGUGUAACGGAUUAAAUUAUGACAUUGGGGAGAAGGCACUAAGGGGUUUGCUUGACACAUUUGGUUUUGUGUUUACUCUGAAAGAAAUAGCUUUUGCUUAUCGCAAUGCAGUGCGAAAUCCCGAUUUGGGUGGUGAAUUUCUCUAUCCCAAUUAGGCUGGUGAAUUUCUCUGUGACAAAUAGGCAAACACCUCAACCUCUUCUAUCCAUCUUCUACUAGUGAGGCAAGGGAUAAAAAGUCUUCAAAAUCAUCAAAUAGUAACAUCUUCGAGAAUUCAUUUUAUGCAAAUGGAAAAUCUAGACCUUCUAAGACAAAAUGGCGUCCAGUAUCAGGAGGUACCGUUUCAAGUUUUCUUGGUAAAAAUUAUGUAAACCUGCACAGCCAGCUAACGGCACUUUUCUAGUUUUCUGGCAUCAAAACCAUUGAAGUCGUAUCCAAAGGAGUUUCCCAUGUCUGCACUUUGUGGAGAAGAAACUAAACAAAAACAAUCAAAGGAUGACCAUUUGCAGAAGGAUGCGGAAGAUUUUCUGUUUAAAUUGCUAGGAGAAGUGUUCCAGCUGAAUAGGGAUGUGAUUCGGGAAGUUCCAGUAAUGUCUUAAAUAUGUUGAUGCCAAUUUAAUACAUAUUGUCAUUUUCGAUGUUCUUUCUUUCUUUAUCUUCUUUUCUUCUUCUUCUUAUUCUUUUUCUUUUCGUGUGCAUGUGAUCACUAAUUUGUUAUUAUACUUAACUUGCAGGUAGUUGUGGAUAUGAUAUGCAAAAGGUAAGGACCGUAUCUUCCUGAUAGAGGCCUCUGCUUUUUCCCUUUUAUGUAAUUUAGUAAAUCUCAUCUCCCUUUGUGAUUGUUAUAUCAUAUCAAAGUCAAGUCUUAAAUACUACUGUCAUAUGUUAAGGUUCAACUUGCAUUUUGAUUAACAUCCAUUUGCUGCCGCUUCCAAAAGUGAGAAUGAGAUACUUCGGUUAAUUUCAGUAGUUCAACCCAAUAGAGUACUUUAUCUAGAUCUUCAUGGUUCAAAGGCCUGAAAAAACUUGCCCGUGAUUGUAAAAUGAUAUUCUGUGCUUUUAAUGCAUAGAGGGAACAGGGUGUCAAAGGAAUUAGCAGAUUCUAUGGCAGAUUCUAUGCCUAUACAGCUGUAACAAUUAUCUUUAUGAUUGUAAAUCUUAUAUGUUUUCCUUAUUUAGGAUAUACUAGCUGUAGGCUAUUUUAGAUAGUUAUGUAUAUGAUAGUUUAGCUAUGUUUAGGGCUAAACAUAAGCUUGUAUUCAUAGUAUAUAAAGGGAAUUCUCCUCCAAGAGAAAGCAUAACUUUUGCUCAAAAUUCUCUGAGUUUAUCAUGGUAUCAGAGCCUCAGUUCUGAAUUCUCUUCUUCCUAGUUCAUUCCCUUGUUUUUAGUUAUUCUUUUUUUUAUCAAGUUAUCUCAGCCUCAUGUCUUCAGACAAGUAUGAUGCUUUUUUUAUCCGUUUUAAUGGCACAAAGUACUCAGCCUGGGCAUUCCAUUUCGAGAUAUUUGUCAAAGGCAAAGAUCUAUGGGGACAAGUUGAUGGCAGAAAACCUGCCCCUGACAAAGAGAUAAACCAAGAUGGGCACGCCAAGUGGGAAGUCAAGGAUGCUCAAAUCAUGGCAUGGAUUCUAGGAUCUGUGGAAUCCAACUUCAUCUUGAAUCUUCGACCCUUCAAGACUGCAGCAGGAAUGUGGAAUCAUCUAAAGAAACUCUACAGUCACACCAACACUGCUCGUCGAUUUCAGCUUGAACAUGAGCUAGCCAAUCUCCAACAAGGCAGUCUCUCUAUUUCUGAUUUAUCUCCAACAAGGUAGUCUCUCUAUUUCUGAUUUUUAUUCUAUCUUCAUGAUUCUUUGGGCUGAAUAUACUAAUAUAAUCUAUGCUACCUUACCUCCCGAAGGUCUUAGUUCUAUUCAAUCUGUACAUGAAACUACUAAGAGGGAUCAGUUUAUGAUGAAACUGAGAUAUGAAUUUGAAAGCACUAGGUCCAAUCUUAUGAACCGAGAAUCUGUCCCUUCUUUGGAUACAUGCCUCAAUGACUUAUUUCGUGAGGAGCAACGACUUCUUACUCAAAACACCAUGGAACAAAAAAAAUCCACUUCUGUUCCUAUGGCUUAUGCAGCUCAAGGCAAGCUAAAAGGUAGGGACAUAAGUACAGUUCAAUGUUUUUGUUGCAAAGGAUUUGGACAUUACGCUUCAAAUUGUUCAAAAAAAUUCUGCAACUACUGCAAAAAAGAUGGACAUAUCAUUAAGGAAUUCCUUACUCGACCCCCCAAGAAAUCUGAAACAAUAUAUGCUACCUCAGUUGGUUCUUCUAGUGCUGGUAGUUCUGUGGAUACAGCACAUUCAACCCAAAGUGCUCCUGCUCCUGUUCAAUCUGUGACCCCAGAAAUAAUUCAACAAAUGAUCAUUACUGCAUUCUCCUCAUUAGGACUCUCAGGUAAAUCACCCACUACAUCUCCUUUGUACUUUGAUUCUGGGGCUUCCCAUCACAUGACAAACAAUGCUAAAUUCUUCACCAAUGUAAGUAAAUACCUUGGAAAUCUAAAAAUUCAUACAGCUGAUGGCAACUCUUUACCUAUCACAACCACUAGUGAUGUUUCUUCUUCUAUAACCAAUGUCUUUGUCUCUCCUGGUCUUACCACUAAUCUUGUUUCAGUCGGUCAGUUAGUUGACAAUAAUUGUAAAGUAGAAUUCUCUAAAUCUGGUUGUGUUGUGCAGGAUCAGUAGUCAAGGAAGAUGAUUGCCAGGGGGCCUAAAAUAGGACGUCUUUUCCCUCUCCAAUUUGCUAAGUCUCCAUGUUUCUCUUUGCCUGUCAUCACUUGCAAUUUUGCUAAUGUUAAUUAUCGAUCAUGGCAUAAACGUCUAGGACACCCAAACUCUAAUGUACUUUAUGCUUUGCUAAAUUCUAGUUUACUUGGGAAUAAAAGAUCACCAUCCCUUAGUGUUGUUCAAUUUGAUUGCAAUUCUUGCAAGCUUGGAAAAAGUAAAAUUCUGCCAUUUCCCACUCACACACCGAAUGUUGUCCAGCCUUUUGAUUUGAUACAUAGUGAUGUGUGGGGUAUGGUGCCUGUUACUAGGGAUGGCAAGAUAAUCCGGACCCGGACCGGACCCGCACGAACCCGGAUGAUCCGGACCGGGUUGAACCCGCACCGGAUGUAUAUUUUAUCCGGAUCCAGUUUUAAUUUUCUUAAACUCGGACUUAUCCGGGUUCGGUUCCGGGUUCACCUGAACUCGGAUUUUCGAAACCCGGACCCGAAUUUUUUGUUUUAAAUAUUAUUUAAUUAAUUUUUUAAAUUAUUAUUUAUAAGUAUAAAAGCAAAAAAAAAAUGAGAAACAAAACAAACCCUACAUUUCCUACGGCAGUCGCUUCCUCAUGUUCAUUCCCCAGAAUUCAGCAAAUAAAUUCAAAAUCAACGUGGCCUCGAUUCUUUCGACUGAGCAAUCAAAGAAUUGGUUAAAGCUGAUUGAAAACAUUGAUUUGACUGUACCUCUUUGAUUGCUUAUUCUUCUCAUGUCUUUGACCUUCUCGAAAUCAAAUGAGUUUUUUUAUUAGCCCAAGUCCUAUCGUUGAAGUUUAGCUCAUAUCCUGGUGAAGAAGAGGUCCUAGGUUUGGUUCGAAGAUUUCUCUCUCUCAGUAGUCGGUUCAUCAUCAUCCAUCAAUCAUCAGCAUCACAACAUCGCGACGGUGGCCGCACUUUUCUGCAAGUUUCAAUUUCUACCUUAUGUGUUAAAAUUAGAUUUAUUCUGAGAUUUGGGCUCAAGGAAUCAUGUGGCUUUCUUUGUUUCUUUAAUUUUCCCAUCUUCCUCAUCCUCCACUAUCUUCGCAAGAUCCCAUGAGUUCUAUUUGUUUCUGCAAUUACCAAAGAGUCAAAAUUGGCAUGCUUGAAUUUUUUUUUUAUUUUAGGCAUAUAUUCGGGUUUAAAACCCGCAUUCCGGAAACCCGGACUUUUCCGGGUUCAACCAGGACCGGACCUGGAGCUAAAAAAAUCCAGGUUAUAUGCAGGUCCGCUAAUUAAAAUUGAUCAUCCGGGUCCGGAACCGGAAAGACUAAACCCGGACCCGGACCCGGAUUUUGCCAUCCCUACCUGUUACAUCUCAUGCUAAUUACAAGUACUUUGUCACUUUUAUUGAUGACUAUAGUCGCUUCACAUGGAUUUAUUUUCUACAUUCUAAAGAUGAAGUGUUCUCUGUUUUCAAGCUUUUUCAUGCACAUAUUCAGACCCAAUUUUCUACUAAUAUCAAAAUUCUUUGCUCUGAUAAUGGGGGUGAGUAUAUGUCUCAUUUAUUUCAAGAAUUUUUGCACACCAAUGGUAUAAUUUCUCAAAGAUCUUGUCCUUCAACCCCCCAACAAAAUGGGGUGGCUGAAAGAAAGAACCAUCACCUUCUCGAUGUUGUCCGCACUCUUCUAUUAGAGUCAUUUGUACCCUCUCGUUUUUGGUGUGAAGCUCUCUCCACUGCUAUCUAUCUCAUCAACAGAUUGUCCUCUCCUUCCUUGAACCAUGUCUCCCAUUUCUUUCGGUUAUUUGGCCAUACACCAAAUUACUCCCAUCUCCAUACCUUCGGUUGUGUGUGCUAUGUUCAUCUUCCUCCACAUGAGCGUACAAAACUCACAGCCCAAGCUGUGAAAUGUGCUUUUCUAGGAUAUUCUAUGCACCAAAAAUGUUUUCUUUGUUAUGAUCUAAAUUUGCAUCAUAUAAGGGUUUCUCAAAAUGUGAUUUUCUUUGAAAAUCAGUAUUUCUUUUCCGCACACCACGACGAUUCUUCCCCUUCAUUUUCUGUUUUGCUAAAGUUUACUAACCCUUCUGCAGAUUCUGUACCUUCUAAACCUAUCAUAGUCUAUCAGCGACGCAAGAAUUCAGUACCUCUCGGGCCCCCUCCAGCAACUUCCCUAAAUGCUGAUCCAGUUCCAGCAACUGCACCUGAACCUUUCAAACACAGUACUCGGGUUCGUAGACCACCAGAUAGGUAUGGUUUCACCUCUCCAUUAUCUUUGACAACCACUUUGUCUUCUAUUCCUAUUCCUUUAUCAUAUAAACAGGCAAUGAAGCAUGAAUUUUGGCGAAAAGCUAUUGAAUCAGAACUUCUUGCACUUGAAGAAAACCAAACUUGGGAUAUUGUUUCAUGUCCUCCAUCCGUGAAACCCCUUAGUAGUAAGUUAGUGUUUUCUAUCAAGCUGCUUUUUGAUGGAUCCAUAGAUCGUUACAAGGUUCGGUUGGUGGUUCUUGGCAACAAGCAAGAAUAUGGCCUAGACUACGAUGAGACCUUCGCGCCGGUAGCCAAAAUGACCACUGUUCGAACAAUAUUAGCCCUUGCUGCAUCACAAUCAUGUUCUUUACAUCAAAUGGAUGUAAAGAACGCUUUCCUACAUGGUGAUCUCAAAGAGGAAAUUUACAUGAAACUUCCCCACGGUAUGACUACUUCCUCUCCUAAUGAUGUUUGCAAACUAAAACGUUCGUUGUAUGGGUUGAAACAGGCACCGCGAGUAUGGUUUGAGAGUUUAGAUCAACUCUUUUCGGUUUUUAAUUCACUCAAAGUUAGUAUGACUCCUCCCUUUUUUUCCAACAGACAUCUAAAGCCAUCGUUGUUCUCCUUGUUUAUGUGGACGACAUCGUUAUCACUGGUUCUGAUAUGGAGGCAAUUUCUAAACUUCAGAAUUUGUUGCACUCCACUUUUCACAUGAAAGACCUCGGUCAACUCACCUAUUUUUUGGGGUUAGAGGUACAUAAUCUGCCUCAAGGUAUCUUCUUGAAUCAGCACAAGUAUAUUCAGGAUUUAAUUCAAUUAGCUGGACUUAUGGACAAAAAUUCUGUUGACACCCCAAUAGAACUUAAUGUGAAAUAUCGAUGAGACGAAGGGGAACUACUUCAAGAUCCUACUUAUUUAUCUAACUAUCACCCGCCCAGACAUCUCUUAUGCUGUCCACAUCGUUAGCAAGUUCAUGCAAGCCCCUCGACAUCUCCACCUAUCCGCAGUCCGCCGCAUCAUUAGAUAUAUUCUUGGCACUCCUAGCUGCAGUUUAUUCUUCCCUACUGGUUCUUCACUCCAACUACAAGCCUACAGUGACGCAGAUUGGACUGGCUGCCCGGGCACGAGAAAAUCUACUAUGGGAUGGUGCAUGUUUCUUGGUGAUGCCCUUAUCUCUUGGAAAUGCAAAAAGCAAGACUCAGUCUCCAAAUCAUCCACUGAGGCAGAAUACCGCGCCAUGUCUGCAGUCUGCUCCGAGAUCAUUUGGUUGCGUGGUCUCUUAACAGAGCUUGGUUUCUCACAACAUCAACCUACUCCCCUACAUGCUGACAACACAAGUGCCAUCCAAAUUGCAGCCAACCCUGUCUACCACGAGCGCACGAAACACAUAGAGGUUGACUGCCACUCUAUUCGAGAGGCCUAUGACCGCCAAGUUAUCACCCUCCCGCAUAUCUCCACUACUCUACAGAUUACAGAUAUCUUCACCAAAUCCAUGACAUGUCAGCGACAUAACGUUCCUGUUAGCAAAUUGAUGCUUGUAGAUUUACCAGCAUCAAUUUGAGGGGGGAUGUCAAAGGAAUUAGCAGAUUCUAUGGCAAAUUCUAUGCCUGUACAACUGUAACAAUUAUCUUUAUGAUUGUAAAUCUUAUAUGUUUUCCUUAUUUAGGAUAUACUAGUUGUAGGCUAUUUUAGAUAGUUAUGUAUAUGGUAGUUUAGCUAUGUUUAGGGCUAAACAUAAGCUUGUAUUCAUAGUAUAUAAAGGGAAUUCUCCUCCAAGAGAAAGCAUAACUUUUGCUCAAAAUUCUCUGAGUUUAUCACAGGGAAGUAUAGCUUUGGAAAAGGCCGGAUCAAUAACUAUGGAGAGAUUUAUAAGUGAUAAAAAUUCCCGUAACCCGCAGUCAAGAAAAUUUCACAUAGUUAAAGACGCCAUUUUGUUUCAGCCAAAAAUGUUUGUUUCGAUUAAAGACUUGAACCAUUUUCAUUUAACCUGAUUGUGAUGCUUUAUGUUAUGUAUGUUCCUCUCAAUCAAGAAAAGUUGAGGUUCAUGAUUUUAUAUUUCCAUCUUGUAACUUGAAAUAAUAACUGGUCUGCUUGUUUUUGUAGCUUGAUAACAUGAAUUUUCCUUCUCAAGUUAAUUUGAUCAAUAAAGUAAUUCUUCAAAGAAAAUAUGCCCAUUCUAUAAUCAUUUUCUUAGCUAAUAUGUUUUUUUUUCUUUACUCUUCAGAGUGUGUCGAAACUAAUUGAUUGCUCAGUAGAGACUUUGGGUGACAAGACAAAAUUUCAUGGUAAAUCCCCUGAAAAGGUAUGCAUAAUUCCUGAAUAUUAAAUAACCAAUGGUCAUAGUUUUUGUAUACGACUCUUUUUGUGGAGAUCGUUAAAAGUGGUUGAUGAUCCAUUUGUAAUUUCAUUGAGGGAUCAUCAAUUCCUUUUCUUUUCUGUGGCUAGGCAUCACUUUCGUGCCAAAGUAAGGAAAUCUAUUUUAGGUAAUGUAAAAAACAAUGGUAGGAUGUAAUAGCUUAUUAUGCACUGACAAUAACUUUUUGUAUAAUUGUCAGUUUAAGGAAUACAAGAGGAACUCUGUUGACAAAUUCAUCCAAGAUAGAUGCUAAAAUUAUUUAUGCAUGCCAGUUGCCUUAACUAAUUUUUCUUAACACUUGUAUUGAACAGGAAAUGAGUAUGCAAUUUGUGUACGUGCCAUUGUGGAGAAUUUGGAUAUUCUUAUUUAAGUAAGAAGAAGAGUUUGCCUCAUCUUUAAACAAUGAAUCUUUGAGAAAUGAGGAGUGGGUGAUUGAAAGUGUCUUCAUGUAAAUGUUCAUUUACUUUUAUUUUGAACUAUUAUGAGAAUCUUUUAUAUGCCAAAUUAGUAAUACAAAUGUUCAGAUGAUUUUUCCUGUUGAUCACGCGUUUGUGUCUGCAGACAACCAUUGUAUAUCACUUUAUUCUGAUGUGCAAUUAUGUAUAGAUUAGAAGAAAAGAAAUAAUAAUCUUAUAUUAUUGUUUGGUUCAUGAUUAUUAAACGAUUAUGGCUUCAAAAAAUCUACAAAUUCCUUCUGUUCAUAUAUGAAUGUGCCAAGUUUUCUAUAUCUUAGAUUGCCUUCUUCCAAGAUAACAAGUUCAUAUGUUUUUUAAUCCUCUUCAAUCACAGUUGAAUUUUAAGUGUUAAGAUUUGUUAUUAAUACCUGGUUCCCUGUUAUUAUGAUUUUUAUUAUGAUUUCAUAAACAGUGUAUGGACAUGUGCUCUACGUUUGAAGGGCCUCCACGUGAAAGAAAAUUGCAACAAUUGAAUUCUUCCGGAGGGUAUGGCAUUUAAUUUAUUUUCUCAACUUCUUGUAAGACUAAUAUAUUUCCUUCAGUAGGCAGGGCAUGGUGGGACGGGCUUUUAUUGAAAGAAUUCUGAUAUUUCUUAGACUUUGUUUUGGAAGGGGGGUGGAGGGAUUUCUCAUCCAUAUAUGGUUACUUGAUUAGCUUUUGACUGUAUUGCCUCAGUCGUGCAAAGGAAGAUCCAAAUACUAAUGAACGAGAAUUGCUUAGAGACCCAAAAGACAGAAAUGAACUACAGAAGGAAGUUUUUGCUGCUUUAUUUAGUGUUCCUGAGAACUCUGAUGAAGAUGGAGUGGAGGUCCAAAGCAUUAAGAAAGGUGGUGAGUGAACCGCCAGAGGAAUUGGUACCAGAAUACAAAGCUAAUGUGGUGCACUUGCAGCAAGAUAACCAGACUAGUAUGUGCUCUUAUAUUAACUAUAUUGACUGGAUUUGUGAGCAUGUUCAUUUUUGUGUGUAUAAUCACUUUUGUAUUUAUGCAUAUUAAUGUUAGUAGGAUUCUUGAUUUCCUCCACUUACUGGAGAACUAGUGGAAAGCUUUAUAGUGAAAUAUCUGCAAUAACUAAUGGAAACUAUGAUUUGAAUAUUUUCUCUCACCUGGAGAGCUUUGCAACAGAUGUACUUUGUGGCUAUGGAAUACUAGAGAUUCUGCAAUAACUAAUGGAAACUCUGAUAUGAAUAUUUUCUCUCACCUGCAGAACUUUGUAACAGAUACACUUUAUGGCUCUGGAAUGUCUAAAGAUUUUUGUCUGCUUCAGUUAGAUAAAAUAUCUUUUAGUUACCUACAUUAUGGAAAAGAUAGAGUUCUCUGAAUCUGAAAGACUGAAACAUUUUGCAUAUUUCGUGAAAGGGAAAUAUCUGUAGAUACUAGUUCAUGCAUUGAGGUAACAUCAAUGUUAAAGAAAAACGGCAAUAACUUAUUAUAUAGAAUUAGGUUCACUUGCUUUAAAUGCUGGUCUGGUCAACCAUAUCAACCUGUAAGUGUAUCUGCAGAAAUAUAUAUGGGGGGACAAACUAGCUAAAUUUUCCUCUCAUUUCUGGCUUUGGUCAUUUGUUCCCCUUAUUUUUCAGCUUUCCUUCUCCUGAAGUAUGUUAACAAUUGCAGAUAAUGACUAAGAGGACAGCUUGCAGGCUCUUCGUAGAGCUGUGAUGGAAUAUAGGGGCACAAUGAAGGAACAUUGUAAAGCUGUAGGUUCUUUUUCUCCUGUCAUUUAUGUUUUCUCACACAUUUUUUAUAUGCUCCAAGCAUGCAAGUUUGUAUGUGUCUUUGCCUUUUAAGUUUUAAAAACCAUAAAGUAAGAAUACAGUUCCUCGUCAGGCUAUUGAUGCAUUCACUCAGGGGAAUCAUGUUCGAGCAGGAAAACUUCUAGAACAGGCAAGGUUUUCCAUCUACAGCCAUCUAUUGACAACAGAUACAUUUUCAUUCAGCAAACACUGUUAGCAUUCAAGAUACUGGCAGAUUCACUUGAUUCUUAUCAGUUUGUUUAGUAGCAAAGCAUAUAACCUGUAUUUCAAAGCCAAGUUGUGCUAUUGAUUAUGUUAACUUUAUUGUUCACAUAAAGUGAUAUGGAGGAAAUAAUCAUUGUAGGAAAAUUAGGUGAAGAGGUGAUGUCAAAUCUUGAACCUGUUACAAAACUCCAAGUUCUUUACUUGAAGAAGCUACCAAAUUUGAACAGGGUCCACUGGAAGGCCUUGCCAUUCCCUGAUGCAUGCAGAAUUUUUGUAUUUAAAUGCCCAGAGCUUAAGAAGCUGCCACCGGAUCUUGAAAGGGCAGGCCAAGGUAAAAUUCUUAUCAAGGGAAAGGAAGAUUGGUGGAAACAACUUCAAUCGGAGGAUCAAGUAACUCAGAAUGCAUUGCUUCCAUUUUUAAAAUCAACUGACAAGUGAUUGAAGGGGGCAUCAUCAACAUCAUCAACAUGGAUGGAGAGAUUCAGGAGCAGAUCAGCAGGGUUUAUUACGACCUGUGGUGGUUGCUUUUUUGUGACUUGUUCCCUUUCAUUUUUUCACUUCCUGUCAUAUUAUCAUUUCUUUGUCUCUGUUUCUAUUGCUGAUGUUGCUGCAUGCUUGCAGCCCUUGACAAAGUUAGCUAGUUUUUUUGUUUCUUAAAUUUUGUAUGUUCGGGACUGUCACAAAGUACUACUUGUUCUAAAUGGGGGUGAUCCGGUGAUGUGAAUCAACUUUUCAAAUAUAUAUUCUGUGGUAAUUGUGAAUUCAAUUUCAUUUGUCUCCUGCAAAUUAUGAAGAAAGUGCAGAGUUACAAUAUGGAAAAGUUCACUGGCAAACACUUUGUAAAAGCUUCGGAGUGAAACAGGGAAUGCACUGGCAACUAAGGACAAAUUGGUGGCCAGCUAAUGCAUUCAUUUUAUGUACAUUCCUCUUUUUAAUUAUUGAAGAUAAGUGGUUCGUUGCUUUUGUUGUAGAUAAAAUUCAGACGACCUCAAUUGUGAGAUGACAAUAUUUAAAAUAUCUCUUAAAUUAUUAUAAACUUUAAUUUAUCUUAAUUUUAUUUAAAAGAUAAAAGAAAAAUGUGGUAUAUGGAUAAGAUUUUUUUUAUCUUCUUAAUAAAAUGAAAUAAAUUAAAAUUUAUAAUAAUUUAUAAUAUUUUAAAAAUUAUUAUUUCAUAAGAGAUUAAUAUGAAAUUAAUCCUUUUUACUUUUUGAAUGUGAAAGGACAGGAAAAGAGAAGCAAGUGUCACUGCUUUUUAUUUUAUUUGAAAUCGGAGUUAUCCCAUAUACUUUACUACUUUAGCUCUAACAUUACAAUGUUUUUAGGCUACACUUUUAUUUUUCUUUUUCCCCCUUUUUUUAUACAUGCAUGUGGAUUACUUUCCUCUAAACUCCUUAAUAUUUAAGACAAAUCAUAAAAGCGAUUGAAGUAUAACCAGAUGAUCAAAACAUUUAACCCAAAAAAAAAAAAGAAAUAAAACAUUGAAAAUGGAGAUGUUGAUUAAUUUAGAAGAGAUGCAAGUAAAAGAUAUUCCCAAAAAAAAGAAAAAAAGAAAAAAGCAACGUUAGUUCAUCCAUGUCUGUCAAUGCGUUUUUUAUGGUUUUUUUUUCCAGUUGUUUGUUGUAAUAGAUUGAUUGUAAAUUGAUAUGAACUUGAUGUUGUAAUAUGUUUGCUUUUGUGGAAUUAAAUUUGAAUAUUCAAGAUUAUUCAAGUCUUAUUUAGUAUGUGUUCGGUUGUGUUGUCGAUAAUUUUACAUUCUAAUAAGUUUUCACCUAAAAUAUUAGCAUGAGUAGUAGUCCUUAAACCUUUGGUCAAAAUUAUUGUUGUUGUUUCUUUUAGAGGAAAUUUUUUUAUUAAAGCCUCGUUAACACUAUUCCUUAUUAAGAUUAUAAGUUAGUGUCGGUGCAGGAUUUGCAGCGACAAAUCUUGUCUAGCCACGUGUCAAAGUACAAAUAAAUCAAGGGAAAGCACAUGACAUGGAUUAGGAUCCAAUAAAAUUUAAAUCCCAAGGAAAAGGACAACUGUAUCCUAAAGUUUCAAUAAGAGAUACUGAGAUAUCUUUUGACUAAUGUUAUUUUUUGGCUUUAUUAAUAAAAAGAUCCAAUAGUUUAUAACAAAUAAAAAUAUAGUAUUAAGCUAAAUGUGAUAAUUUACACAUUUUACAUAAUUUCAAUAAAAAUUUUUUUAAUGUUUUACAAUCUAUCAGACAUAUUUUAUUAAAUUAAUAAGAAUUUUCUUAUAAAUAGCAACAUAAUAUUAAAAUAAAUUUAUAAAGAUUUAAAUGUAAAAUAAUUUUAGUAUAAUUAAUACGUGGGAUAUAUUUUGUAAAUUAUAAAAUUACUUAACCCAAUGAUUUUUAAAAAUCUUUAAAAUAAAUAAAAAUAAAUUAUUCACAUUUUGAUGUAAAAUAUUUAAAACAUUUUUAUACAUUAGUCCACAAUUAUUUAUGUUAUAUUUGUAUUUAUUAGAAAUUUUGAAAGUCAAAUAUUUUUCACCUCUAUCUUACUAGAAUUAUUGCACACAGAGAAAGAGCAAUAUAUGCUUUAUAGCUUGAAAAUCGAUUUGUUUUAUAGCUGGGAACAGAGAUGAUCAUUAUUAUAAGGAUUAAAAAAAAGAUAAAGAAUAUUAAUGAUUAGCGAAAUCUUUAUGGAAAUUGAAUUUAGUAAGAAAAAAUUGUGCUGAUUUUAGUGGUAUAGUAAUAUUUUAUAUAGAGAAAAAUAAAAGCUGCACCUCAAGGUUAAGGGAAAUGGUCAAAACUCUUUUUUAAUCAUAAUACCCUUUUUCCUAGAUAAUUUAAAAAUUUUACUCUAAUAUUUUAUAAUAAAUAAAAACAUAUAAUCCUAAAAUAAAUAAAAUAAUAUAUAUUUUAAAAUAAUCUCAAUAUUUAAAAUAUAUUUUAACAUUUUAUAAUCUAUCAGAUAUAUUUUAUUAUAUUAAAGUAAAUUUUAUCAUAAAUACAAAACAUACUAUUAAAAUAGAUAUAAAAAUUUUAAAGUAUUUUGAAUAUUAUAUAAAAUAACUUUAAUAUUGUUAAUGCGUGAGAUGCAUUUUAUUAACUAUUAGAUAGACUAAACUAUUUAUUUUAUUUUCUAUUUAUUAUAAAAUUUCAAAGUUAAUCUUUUUAACUACUAUUCAAAAGAUAUUAUGAUAAAAAUAAAAUUUUUCUGUUUUUAUUAAAAAUUUAGAAUUUACAUCUAUUUUUUCAAAUAUUCGGGGUGUAACUGUUUUUUCCCUUUUUUAUAAACGAACGGUGGUGAGAAAGCUUGAGUUAACGUUAUUUAUUUAAAUAAAAUCUCAGUUAAAAAUGUACAGAGAAGAAAUUUCUGUUGGUAUUUUAGUCUUUUACCAAUUAUCAUGAUUAGGCCUUGGCCUUGAAACAUUAAUUGUUUCAGUUUUAGCGCUAGUGGCGUUGAAAGUUGUCAAGAAAAAGCAAGGCCAUAUUCCACAAAAGCAAAAGUAACGUAGGCUCUUUUAUUAAAGGCAAAGUAUAGUCAAGAAUCGAAUAUCCUGUCGUCUACUCUUUUUUAAAUUCUUCUUUUAUUAUCUUUUAGAACAGUUUUAGGUAAUUACAAUCAUUAUUCAGAGUUAUUGUUAUCUACUGGGGCAGUCUCUGUUCAUCGAAGUCGUUGCCUUUUUUUAUGGAUCAGUUCCAGUGGUAAGCAGUAAUUUUCUUAGAACUCCGAUCUUUAAUUCGAGUUUCUGUGUGAAUUAAUAAUAAAAAAUUUUCAUUACACGCAAUUUAAGCUACGAAUUACUUUUUGCAAAGUUGAAUAUGAAAUUGGGGGAGAAAUUCAGUAAUUUAGAAUGUUGGUAAAAAUUGACGAACAUAUCUCCAAUUACAGUAAAACCUCUCUACAGUCAUAACAUUAUAACAAAAUUAAUUUUAAACCUAUGUUGAGGUAAUAUAGGUUUAGUUACAAAAUCAUUGUUUUAAUAUGGUUAGUGUCAAGUGAUAUAAAGGUUAAGUAUGCAGUACAUUGAUAAUUAAAUAAUGAAGCGUGUCAAAUCUAAUGUAUAUAUAUUAAUGAUAUAGAUAGACAUAGUUUUAAAAAACUAAUUAAUGUAUAUUUAUGUAGUUUUAUGAAUAUGGAAAGUCAAGCCUACACUUUACAUUAUCCUUAAUUUUUUCUCUCAGUUAAAUUCUACAAAUAUUGUACAAUGAUUGGGCAAGAACUCUAAAUUAAGAAUAAAUUAUUGUCACACAUAAUUUUAGAAAAUAUUUUAUUUUGUCUUAAACCUGUAAUGUAAGUAAAUAUAUAUAUAUAUAUAUAUAUAUAUAUAUGGGUCCGCCUAAGUUACAUUUAACGUAGCUUACGACUGUCAUGUAAAAUAUCAUGUAGACUCUUAUACUCGUUAUUAUUUAUAAUUUAUUUAUAAGUAUUAUAAAUUUUUUACAUUGUAAAAUUUCAUUUAGUCCCUUACCAUCUAUUUUAUUUUAUUGAAACCCUUAGAAUACCAACUCGCCCUCUAUAAUUUUAAAUUCUCAAAAUUCCCUCUAUUUAAUUGAAAAUUAUAAUUAUUAUUAAAUGAAUUAUAAUUAUAAUAAUUAUUUUAUUAUAAUUAUAAUUUUAAAAUGGAUGAUGAUGAUGAUGAUGAUGAUGAUGAUGAUUAUUAUUAUUAGCAACAAGAAGAAUAAAAAGUAUUAUAAUUAAUUAAUCUAUUAACAAUAAUUAAUAAUAAUUUUUUAGUUAAAUUGUUAAUAAUAAUUAACAAUAAUAAUUAUUAAUAAUUAAUAUUUUUGAAUAAUAAUAAUAACAAUAACAAUAAUUAAAAUACAAAAUAAUAAUUAUGAUAAAAAUUAUUAAGAAUUUUAUAGUAAUUUGUUACAAUUUAACUGAUUUUAAUUUUGAUUCUAAGACAAGGUAAGCACAUAAAUCGUAAUACAACUCAUUUUAAUUACGAUUCUUACAGUUCAAGUAAACAAAAUUAUUCUGAUUCCAAUUUUUCAUUUUAAUUCUAACUAUUCUGAUUCUAACUCAUUAUAUUUCUAUCUAAUUUCGAUCCUUAUUUAGUAAAUGCAAUAUAAAAUUCAUAAUAGUUAUGAAUAAAUUGUGAAUAAUAUAGAGUGGUUUACAAUUUUAUAGUGCAUUAACUAAAGAUGAAUCGAAAUUAUUUGGAAACAUAAUGAGUUAGAAUCGGAAUAGCUAGAAUCAAAAUAAGAAAUUGGAAUUAGAAUAAUUAUCUACUUGAACUGUAGGAAUUGUAAUUAGAAUAAGUUGUAUUACCGUUUAUGUGUUUACUUUGUCUUAAAAUUAAAAUUAGACUGAGUUAAAUUGUUAAAAAUUACAAAUAAAAUCCUUAAUUAAUUUUUAUUAUAAUUAUUAUUUUGUAUUUUAAUUAUCGUUAUUAUUAUUCAAAAAUUAAUUAAUUAUUAUUUUUAUUAUUAGCAAUUGAACUAAAAAAUUAUUAUUAAUUAUUGCUAAUAGAUUAAUUAAUUAUAAUAUUUUUAUUCUUAUUAAUAAUAAUAAUAAUGAUAAUCAUCCAUUUUAAAAUUAUAAUUAUAUAUAUAUAUUUAUAAUCCAUUUAAUAAUAAUUAUAUUUUUAAUUCAAUGGAGGGUAUAUUUAGAAUUUAAAAUAAUAGAGGGCGAAUUGGUACUCUAAGAGUUUUAAUGAAAUAAAACAUAGGAUAAGAGACUAAAUAAAAUUUUAUAAUACAAAAAAAUUUAUAAUACUUAUAAAUAAAUUAUGAAUAAUUAGGAGUAUAAGGGGCUAUAAGAUAUUUGACAGGGCAGCCGUAAGUUACGUUAAAUGUAACUUAGGCGGACCCUAUAUAUAUGUGUGUGUGUGUGUGUGUGUGCAUAUUUUGCAACGUAUAGAUAAUUGUUAGUAUAUGGAGACAAGUCUUUUAAGGUAGGACCUAGAAAAAUUUAUAACUUACUACACUGGGGAGUUUUUAUUCCUUUUUAUAAUUGCUCAUAUUGAUACGUUCUUACACAAAAUAUUACCAUUGACAUAUUUUACUACAAUUAGUUUAGAACAUUUGUUAGGAAAAAAAAAAGAAAAGAAAACAUUCCUUGGAUGUAGCUCUCCUGACUAUUUAAAUCUUUUAAGGAAAAAAAGAAAAAAGAAAAACUGACACAUUCAAAUCUUGAAGCAAUUACAUUAAAACCUCUCCAUAAUGAUAGGAAUAAUCUCCAUUUAGAAAUAAAAAAAUUUGUUCGCAAUUUAGGCAGAGUUAUUAAUAAGAAUAAAAUCCUCAUUGUAAUAAGUUAUAUUUAUUAUGGAUCCCAUCCUAAGGAACUUGUCUCUAUAUAGUAAUAAUUAUUUGCAUAUUAUAAAUAUAUAUGUUGCAUUAGAUAAAAUGAACUUGUCUCCACAUACUACUUAGACAAUGAGAGAAAGUUAUUAAAGAGAACACAAAUAUUUAGAGAUUUUUAAGAUUACUUUGCAUAUUUAUAACAAUAAUACAUUAAUAUAUGUAUUAGUUUUUUGAUAUAUUAGAUUUGACUUGCUCUAUUAAUAAAUUAUUAAUACGAUGCAUACUUCAUCUCUAUAUCCUUGCAAUAAAAGUAACUAAGAUAUAACAAUAAUUAUUAAUACGAUGCGUACUUCAUCUCUAAAUCCUUGCAAUAAGAGUAAUUAAGUUAUAACGAUAAUUUUUGUAACUACAUGCUUAUUAGGUUUUAACUACAUAAUAAUAAAUUAGUUUCGUCCUAAUAUUAUAAUUAUGUAGAGUUGUAGUGUAUAGACACACCCAAUUUAAAUAGUAAAUCAAAUAAAAUUGUCCCCACAAAAAAGAAAAAAGGGGUAAAGGAUUGUUAUUUCUUCAAACAUCAGGAGCACGUUUGUGCAAGUGCGAUGCCUUUCUUUUGAAGGCAACGUCAGUGGGUACCCAAUAGGACGUGUGUAAAUCUUUCCAAAAUUUCUCCGGUAUAACGGACAGAGAUCAUUACUUUUCUCUUCCAUAGACCACAGCAGCUUCAGUUAAUCAGACUCAAUCAAUUUUCUUGGUUUCUUCGCUUAUCAAAAUUCCAAAAUAUGGGAAGCAUAUUUCAAAUCACAUGCGAUGGUGCUUUUUUCAAUCGUUGCUUGGAUUGCUUUCUUGGAAAAGUAGCAAACACAAGUAAGCUCCAAGAUAACCUUGUUGCCUUGGAGACUGAUUUGGGAAAACUAAUCGCAGCAAAGAACGAUGUGAUGAUGAGGGUUGUCAAUGCUGAACGGCAACAACUGAGAACGCUGGACCAAGUGCAAGUGUGGCUUUCGAGGGUGGAAGCUGUUGAAACUGAAGCUGAUGAAUUGAAAAGACACGGGUCUCAAGAAAUUGACAAAUUAUGUGUUGGAGGCUACUGUUCCAAGAACUGCGCGUCAAGUUACAAGUUCGGGAAACAAGUGGCUAAAAAGCUACGGGAUGUGCAGACUUUAAUCGACGAAGGAGUUUUUGCGGCGGUGGCUACUGAGGUGGUGCCUGAGAGAGCUCCAGAACCUGUAGCAGAUGAAAGACCCACUGAGCCAACAAUAGUAGGCUUGCAAUCACAACUUGAACAAGUUUGGAGAUGUCUUGUAGAAGAAUCAGUGGGAAUCAUUGGCCUAUAUGGUAUGGGCGGUGUUGGUAAAACUACACUAUUGACCCAUAUCAACAAUAAAUUUCUUGAGAGUCCAACCAGUUUUGAUUGUGUGAUUUGGGCCGUAGUUUCAAAGGACUUGCGACUCGAAAAAAUUCAAGAAGAUAUUGGGAAAAAGAUCGGUUUGGUUGAUGAUUCAUGGAAGAGUAAAAGUGUAGAGGAGAAAGCUCUCGACAUCUUCCGGAGUUUAAGAGAGAAGAGAAUUGUAUUGUUGUUAGAUGAUAUAUGGGAGCGGGUUGAUUUAACAAAAGUGGGCAUUCCACUUUCCGGACCAAAAAAUACUACUUCAAAAGUCGUAUUCACAACCCGUUUCGUCGAUGUUUGUGGUAGCAUGGAAGCUGACAAGAAGUUCCAAGUGGCAUGCUUAUCAGAAGAGCAUGCUUGGGAGCUAUUUCGAAAAAAAGUUGGGGAAGAAACUCUUGAGAGUGAUCAUGAUAUCGUUGAGCUAGCCCAAACUGUGGCCAAAGAGUGUGGUGGUUUGCCACUCGCACUUAUUACUAUUGGUCGAGCUAUGGCCUUCAAAAAGACAGCCGAGGAGUGGAGUCAUGCAAUUGAUGUGCUAAGAACAUCAGCUUCCGAGUUUGCAGGUUUGGGAGAAAAGGUAUAUCGUCUUUUAAAGUUUAGCUAUGAUAGUUUGCAGAAUGAGACGAUUAGAUCUUGUUUCUUAUAUUGUUGUUUAUAUCCCGAGGAUUAUGGCAUUCUUAAAUGGGACUUGAUUGAUUGUUGGAUUGGUGAGGGAUUCUUAGAGGAAUCUGACAGGUUCAGUGCAGAAAACCAAGGAUACUACAUUGUGGGCACUCUUGUUCAUGCAUGUUUAUUGGAAGAGUUAGAAGAUGAUAAAGUAAAAAUGCAUGACGUUGUUCGUGAUAUGGCUCGAUGGAUAGCUUGUGAAAUUGAGAAGGAGAAGAGAAAAUUUUUGGUUUGUGCAGGUGCUGGAGUAGGAGCGGUAUCAGAUGUUGAAGGAUGGGAAAAUGUGAGAAGAUUGUCGUUGAUGCAAAACCAAAUUGAAAUUCUGUCAGAGGUUCCCACAUGCCCUCAUCUCCUCACUUUAUUUCUUGACUUUAAUUAUAAAUUGGAGAUGAUCACCGAUGGCUUCUUCCAAUGUAUGCCUUCUCUCAAAGUUUUGAAGAUGUCAAACUGUGGGCAUGUCAAAGUUUUGAAAUUACCUUUUGGGAUGUCAAAG